CAAUAGCGUAUAUUAAAGUUGUUGCAGUUAAAAAGCUCGUAGUUGGAUUUGUGGCGUAUGGUGUGUUCCGGGCACUUGUUGUCUGAGUAACUUGCCAUUGCCAUCCUUGGGUGGAACCUGUGUGGCAUUAGGUUGUCGUGCAGGGGAUGCCCAUCGUUUACUGUGAAAAAAUUAGAGUGUUCAAAGCAGGCUUAUGCCGUUGAAUAUAUUAGCAUGGAAUAAUAAGAUAGGACUUUUUUGCUAUUUUGUUGGUUUGCGCGAGAAGGUAAUGAUUAAUAGGGAUAGUUGGGGGUAUUCGUAUUCCAUUGUCAGAGGUGAAAUUCUUGGAUUUUUGGAAGACGAACUACUGCGAAAGCAUUUACCAAGGAUGUUUNCAUUAA
rnacentral:rRNA from 1 species